rnacentral:rRNA from 1 species
CACGUAGGGGGCGAGCGUUAUCCGGAUUCAUUGGGCGUAAAGCGCGCGCAGGCGGCCGCUCAAGCGGGACCUCUAAUCCCGGGGCUCAACCCCGGGCCGGGUCCCGAACUGGGCGGCUCGGGUCCGGUAGGGGCAAGCGGAAUACCCGGUGUAGCGGUGGAAUGCGCAGAUAUCGGGUAGAACACCGAUGGCGAAGGCAGCUUGCUGGGCCGAGACCGACGCUGAGGCGCGAAAGCCAGGGGAGC